rnacentral:rRNA from 1 species
GACGAACGCUGGCGGCGUGCUUAACACAUGCAAGUCGUACGGUAAGGCCCUUUCGGGGUUCCCGGGUGGGGAAAGGGUGAGUAAACCGUGAGUAACCUGGCCCCAACCUUGGGGAAACGCUUGGAAACUGGUGCCAAAACCGGAUAUGUUCCUCCUCCGCCAGGGGGGGGGUGGAAAGCCCCGGCGGUUGUGGAUGGACUCGCGGCCUUUCAGCUUGGUGGUGGGGUAGUGGCCUACCAAGGCGGCGACGGGUAGCCGGCCUGAGAGGGUGACCGGCCACAUUGGGACUGAGAUACGGCCCAGACUCCUACGGGAGGCAGCAGUGGGGAAUAUUGCACAAUGGGCGCAAGCCUGAUGCAGCAACGCCGCGUGCGGGAGGACGGCCUUCGGGUUGUAAACCGCUUUCAGCAGGGACGAAGCUUUUUGUGACGGUACCUGCAGAAGAAGCACCGGCUAACUACGUG